CUUCCGCCCGCGCUCCCACCUCCUCCUCCUCCUGCCCACAGCCCCGGCUCCAGGGGCGCCCGCUGCACCUGCGACACGCCACGGCCGCUCCGGCCUCGCUCCGGCCUCCGGGCCAGCCGAGCGGUGGGCGCGCAGGUGGAGAUCGUGAAGGAAUUGACGUGAGCCCUCCACCACUGUGGGGGACUGAAGAGCCCAGGUCCCAUGCGUCGGAUGAUGGCAGGAGGCCACUAGACUGGUGGGACUCCAGGGCCUUGUGUACCAAGCCCAGAGGGAACCCCGUCAAUGCCUCAUGGUUAAGGUCACAAAAUUGGAAGGAAGAAUGACCAAUCACAAAUAGCCAACCAGGCUUUAAGCUGGAGCCAAUUGAUCAUCUACUUCCUUUGUUUCAGCAUUUUCUGUAUAAAAGCCUCUCCUGGAUCUCCUGCUCCCCACCAGCCACUUCCAGCUUAGUACUGCUCUAUUGAAAUCAACUUUUUCGCAAAUAAAAUGUUUAAUGUGC